GACGUAGGGUGCAAGCGUUGUCCGGAUUUACUGGGCGUAAAGAGCGCGUAGGCGGCUCGUUAAGUGUGAAGCUAAAUCUCUUGGCUCAACCAAGAAAUCAUUUCGCAUACUGGCGGGCUGGAGUGAUGCAGAGGUGGAUAGAAUUCCCGGUGUAGCGGUGAAAUGCGUAGAUAUCGGAAGGAACACCUGUGGCGAAAGCGGCUCACUGGACCAUUACUGACGCUGAUGCACGAAAGCUAGGGGAGCAAACAGG
rnacentral:rRNA from 1 species